CUGACCAUCCUAGAAUGAAACAAAAGAACAAGAAACUGAACAUGUUCAUUCAAAGAAGUAACUAAUCAAAUAAAAUGUGAAAAAUACGUACUAGAUAUUUUAAUUGAGAACAGUAGUCAGAAAUUUUCUAUUUCAUUGCUUAAUAGUAGAAGAAAUUAAGGAUCAUCCACAUAAUAGACAGGAAAGUUGAUAAAAGAAAAUUGAAUCCAUAAUUUAUCUGUAAAAUUUAUUACACUCAUAAUAGUCAAUAUCUUGUCAGGAUUAAAACUGUUUUGCAGGUAAUGAGGGAAUGCUUAGUAUGGGAUGAAAUACAGAGGAAGAAAAAAAGUUUAAAAUUAGAAGAAAAAGUUAUACUCUAGAUUGCUAAGUAUGGAUUAGCAUGUAUCCUUUAGAAUGCAUAUCAUUGUACACCUGCUUUUCAUAGAUUCUGACUAUUUCUAAACUUUCAAAAUCAUCUGUUGCCCACCGCACCUAGAGAAAGGUACUGAGUUACAACAGAUGUUUUGAAAAUUACUAAACCAGAUGAUUUACUAUGUAUUUAAAAACUCUAUUGCAUUUUAUCACAGAUAUUUAUUAGAUGUAAUGUGGAGUAGGAU
rnacentral:lncRNA from 1 species